CUUGUCUUUGUGGGGAAGUUCUACCGCUAUGAGGCUGCCUGCAUGCAUGCUCUGCCAUGCCCAUAUCCCAGGGGUGGAAGGGAUGGUAGGCCUCUCUGGGGUCUUGCUUAGCUCAUGCUUGCAGACUGUGGUAAGUGGGAAAGACUCAGGGCUCUCUGGAGUGUGCUGUUUACCUUCCUGUCCCAGGGGAACUGAAGAAAUGCAACCUGAAAGAACUUGUUCAUGGCAGAACCUAAAGUGUUGAUCCCAUGCUUCUGUGGUCAUCUCUCUAGUCUGGGAAAACACUCUGCUUUCUGAUUGUCCAUUUCCUGGCCUUUUUGUUUCUUUGCUGUACUUGCCCACAAGCUGCUUUUCUUCUUUUUGCAUAUUUCACUCAUCUCAUUACCCUCUGGGCCCUCAAGGAUCGCCCCUACCUCUGCUCUUCUUUUACUUCCUUUCCUAGCCUGCAGUUGAACAUCCUGCUCAUCCUGUACCUUGUGGCGUCUUCCACCCUCACAGGCACGACCGUGGUCCAGACCUGUUUUUUCUCCACUUUCGCAGAGUGCUUAACUAGAACUUAACUAUCUUCCUCCCCUUAAGUUGUUUCUAGACAGCUCUCCCAUUUAUAACAGCGAUACUACCAUAUCCUCCAUGGUCCAGGCUAACAACCAUGGGGCCCUAGCCCAGUCUUUCUGAUCUGCCCUGUUUUUAAAUCAGUAUUCUUGGACUUGUUGUAUUGUUCAUUAGCAUGGAAUCCUAGUUCUGGCUGCCCCUUUCAGAUUCAGGCCAUUUAUGCCUAUCUUUAACCGUCUCCAGUCACCUUUUUAAUCAUCACCUUAAAUGGAGUCUCCUCGCUCAUUCUGAGAAAUUAUCUGUAAAGUUGAAGUAGGCUUUCUUUUGCCAUAUUCUUAAGUUGUUUAUUGUUCUUAGCUCUUUCUUUCUCCCCAAUAAUAGGGUUAUAUACUUAUUUUUAGCUUCAUUAGAUCAUUCCCACAAUAGUAGUUCUUUUUUCUCAGUUCAAGGGAACACUCACAUUUUAUUUUAUUUCAGAAGGGGAGACAAGACCUGAAGAUAGUGUUCCCCGCCCAGAACUGGGCAUCUCUUCAGAGGUGAUAGUGGGAACAUACAGAAGGGAAGAUAUUUGGAGUUCCCAUGUCUUGGAGUCUCAGGUAUCUGGAUGCAAUAUAGAGAGGCAGCAAGCAAACCAACAGACACCACCAAGUGAAGUAGAAGUGGUCAAAAAAAUAGUACCCACCUGGGAGGGAGGCCCUGCCACGAACGAACUUGAAAAAAGCAUCGUUGUGAGUUCAAGCCUUUUAGCACAGCAGGAAAUAUCUCCAGGACAGGCUUUUGCUAAAGUAAGCAUCAAACAGAAUUCACACACAGUGAAAAAAGAGAAGUCUUGUAAGUGCAGUGAAUGUGGUAAAGCUUUUAGUUAUUGUUCUGCUCUUAUCCGCCAUCAGCGAACACAUACUGGAGAAAAGCCUUACAAAUGUAAUGAAUGUGAAAAGGCCUUCAGCCGGAGUGAAAACCUUAUAAACCAUCAGAGAAUUCACACUGGAGAUAAGCCAUACAAAUGCGAUCAGUGUGGAAAAGGCUUCAUUGAGGGCCCAUCUCUUACUCAGCAUCAAAGAAUACACACCGGAGAAAAGCCCUAUAAAUGUGAGGAGUGUGGGAAGGCCUUUAGUCAGAGGACGCAUCUUGUUCAGCAUCAGAGGAUCCACACGGGUGAGAAGCCUUACACUUGUAAUGAUUGUGGAAAAGCUUUUAGCCAGAGAGGUCAUUUCAUGGAACAUCAGAAGAUUCAUACAGGAGAGAAGCCUUUCAAAUGUGAGGAGUGUGAUAAGACUUUCACCAGGAGCACACACCUCACUCAACAUCAGAAAAUUCACACCGGAGAGAAAACCUACAAGUGUAAUGAAUGUGGCAAGGCCUUCAACGGGCCCUCGACCUUCAUCCGUCACCACAUGAUUCACACGGGCGAGAAGCCCUAUGAGUGCAACGAGUGUGGCAAGGCCUUCAGCCAGCACUCGAACCUCACCCAGCACCAGAAGACACACACCGGCGAGAAGCCCUAUGACUGCGCAGAGUGCGGGAAGGCCUUCAGCUACUGGUCAUCCCUCGCGCAGCAUCUCAAGAUCCACACUGGGGAGAAGCCCUACAAGUGCAGUGAGUGCGGAAAGGCCUUCAGUUACUGCUCGUCCCUUACGCAGCACCGGAGAAUCCACACCAGAGAAAAGCCCUUUGAGUGUAGCGAGUGUGGAAAGGCUUUCAGUUACCUCUCCAACCUCAACCAGCAUCAGAAAACUCACACCCAGGAGAAAGCCUAUGAGUGUAAGGAAUGUGGGAAAGCCUUCAUUCGGAGCUCAUCUCUUGCCAAGCACGAAAGGAUUCAUACCGGGGAGAAACCCUAUCAGUGUCACGAAUGUGGGAAAACCUUCAGCUACGGCUCAUCCCUCAUCCAGCACAGGAAGAUCCACACUGGAGAGAGACCGUACAAGUGUAACGAAUGUGGGAGAGCCUUCAACCAGAACAUACACCUCACACAGCAUAAGAGGAUCCACACAGGAGUGAAGCCUUAUGUGUGUCCCGCAUGUGGGAAGGCCUUUCGGCAUUGCUCCUCUCUCGCACAGCACCAGAAAACUCACACGGAAGAAAAGCCCUACCAGUGCAAUAAAUGUGAGAAGACGUUCAGCCAGAGCUCCCACCUGACUCAGCACCAGCGCAUUCACACUGGAGAGAAGCCCUAUAAGUGCAGUGCAUGUGACAAAGCCUUCAGCCGCAGCACUCACCUGACGGAACACCAGAACACGCAUUCCGGAGAGAAGCCUUACAACUGCAGCGAGUGCAGGAAGACCUUCAGCCAGAGCACUUACCUGACUCAGCAUCAGAGAAUACAUUCAGGGGAGAAGCCUUUUGGCUGUAGCGACUGUGGGAAAGCCUUCAGGUAUCGGUCAGCUCUCACCAAGCACCAGAGACUGCACCCUGGCAUCUGACCGUCCUGGAAGCAUCGUGGGUGUAGGUGCUGCGUGUGCUUGGGUUUGUGCUUUUGUUACGUACUGAAGAAUCGGUAGACAGAAACUCCUCAAGCAUUUGACCUUUUCACUACUGUGAUAUGGGAUGGAAAGUACACUGGCUGAACCCCUGUGGCAGUGGGAAGCUCAAGUGUUUUAAACUUUAGUUUCCUCUGUGAAAUCAGAGUUUGGGGGUUGAUGAUCUCAGCGGCAGUUAGGAGUUUUAUACUCAGUUUUGUAUAUCUACAGUAUAUCCUUAAAUAGUUUGUGCAUCAGGCUUUUGGUGGUGCAUCUAGAAUGUGUAUGUUCAUGCAUGUUUUGCCAGUAGAAGGAAUUCGUGCUUCAGUCACGAGGGAUCUGUUUGACUCCUGUUCUAAUGCACUAAGUUGCUUAGGCUAUUGCUUUCUAAUAAAAAGAACUACAAAGGACCCUCAGUUCAGAUGUAUGUGACAGCCUAACUCCACUUGCGUAUUAAAAGUUGGUAGUCAGGUGGGUGCUCUGCCCCUGUAGUCCAGCUACUCAAGAGUCUGAGCCCAGGAGUUCAACACCACAUUGGACCACAUAGUAGGAUCCCAUCUCAAAAAAACAAAAAGG
rnacentral:lncRNA from 1 species